AGAUGGCUUAAAGGGGUGCGAGAGCUUCUUUCUUGUAUCCGCUCCACGAUGGGACUGCGGCCGAUCAGGCUGUUGGUGGGGUAAUGGCCCACCAAACCUGUAACCGGUACGGGCCUUGAGAGAGGGGGCCCGGAGAUGGACACUGAGAGAAGGGUCCAGGUCCUACGGGGCGCAGCAGGCGCGAAACCUUCGCAAUGCGCGAAAGCGUGACGAGGUUAAUCCGAGUGGUCCCCGCUGAGGGGAUCUUUUGUCGGCUGUAAAAAGGCCGGUGAAUAAGGGGAGGGCAAGUCUGGUGUCAGCCGCCGCGGUAAUACCAGCUCCUCGAGUGGUCGGGGCGAUUAUUGGGCCUAAAGCAUCCGUAGCCUGUUCUGUAGGUCCUCUGUCAAAUCCAACGGCUUAACCGUUGGCCCGCAUAGGAUACCGCAUGACUAGGAGGCGGGAGAGGUGGACGGUACUCCACGUGUAUGGGUAAAAUCCUUUGAUCCGUGGAAGA
rnacentral:rRNA from 1 species